CGAGGGGCGGGAACGCCCGUCCAGAAGCGGCUUCCUGGCCGCGGCGCCUUCUGGGAGUUGUAGUGCAGAAGCUGAGGCGCCUGGAAAACACAAAAUGUUCUCCCACAUCACACCCCGCCUGCAUUUAUCAAAAAAGAAAACACCUGAUGCUGGCUGUGUGCUGUUGGAACCAGAAACUUUUUAGCAUAUUAUAGUCGAGUGCCAGUGACUUCUUUGUUCUUUCAGAGGCAUUCUAAAAAGCGGCGUGUUUCACGAAUCUCAGAGACAACAACUUUCACAACUAUCAACUGUCACCUCCCAAACUGCCACAGAACCUUUUAAGUCCAACAUUCUGUCAUUUGUGGGAAAUACUCAUCUUCUAAAACACACUCUACUUAUUCUUUGAAUAGUAGUUGCAAAGCUAGUCAUCUCUCAGGAAGCACUUUCUAUUUCCAAAACUUUGGUUUCAUCAGUACCUGGAGCAAAGCUUCUGGCAGAAACACAAAUCCUCAUCAGGGGAGAGGCACAGGAUCAACUCACGGUUAUAAACUGGACUCCUGCUCUGACGGGUAGCAGCCAUCAACUUUGCCCGAUUCUCAUAAUUCUGAAGGGUCACCAAGGAGUUGCUACCAGCCACUGUACUUAAAGUGGUGUCACAGGAUUACAAAAUAGAAGAAAGUCUUUCUUCUCUGACUAAUAUGUUAGUGCUCUAGUAAGCAUCAAAGAUGAAAGACACACAAUACCAGAAUGAAAUUCACAACAGUAAAGAAUAGAACUGAAGAGAAUAAGGAAAAGAAAAAAGGGGCUGAGGGAGAAGGAAAAGAAAAGAGAGUUUAAAAAGGUAGAGAAGGUAAGACUCCAGGCAUUCUAAACACUACCAAAAUGUACAGAUCUAUUUUAUGUGCUCUGCAAUGACA